GUGCACUUAUCGUAACCUGGUUCACUCUUGGUAUGAAUUUGGGUUCCAUUCAGGUGCCAGAUCAAACUUCAGUGAGGCAGGGGAGCGGCAUCAUUUUUUUUGCUGUUCCCUGUUCACUCUCUGGGAACAUCA
ensembl:snoRNA small nucleolar RNA, H/ACA box 54